UACGAAGGGGGCUAGCGUUGCUCGGAAUGACUGGGCGUAAAGGGCGCGUAGGCGGAUGGUACAGUCAGAUGUGAAAUGCCCGGGCUCAACCUGGGGGCGGCAUUUGAGACGUGCGGUCUGGAGUGAGGAAGAGGGUCGUGGAAUUCCCAGUGUAGAGGUGAAAUUCGUAGAUAUUGGGAAGAACACCGGUGGCGAAGGCGGCGACCUGGUCCUUGACUGACGCUGAGGCGCGAAAGCGUGGGGAGCAAACAG
rnacentral:rRNA from 1 species